rnacentral:rRNA from 1 species
AAUGAACGCUGGCGGCAUGCCUUACACAUGCAAGUCGAACGGCAGCAUGACCUAGCUUGCUAGGUUGCUGGCGAGUGGCGCACGGGUGAGUCAUGCGUAGGAACGUGCCUUUUAGUGGGGGAUAACGUAGCGAAAGGGACGCUAAUACCGCAUAUUCUCUGAGGAGGAAAGCAGGGUGGCUACGGGCGUUGCGCUAGAAGCGCGUCGGUGGUCGGAUGCGCCAGUUGGUGGGGGAAAGGCUUACCAAGGCAACGGACCGGAACGCGUCUGAGAGGAGGAUCCGCCACAAGGGGACUGGGACACGGCCCCGGCUCCUAAGGGAGGGCGCAGGGGGGAAUUUUGGACAAUGGGCGGAAGCCUGAUCCAGCCAUGCCGGGUGAGUGAAGAAGGCCUUCGGGUUGUAAAGCUCUUUCGGCUGGGAAGAAAUCGCACUCUCUGAUACAGGGUGUGGAUGACGGUAACAGCAUAAGAAGCACCGGCUAACUACGUG